GUUAGUUUCGUUUUCCUUUGUUGAUUUAGUUAGUUCGUAUUUCGUUGUUCUUGCGUUUAAAAAUUGUCAUUGUUGACAGCUCAUUAAUAACUUGACACUCUUAGCAGUUGACGACAGAAGUUGACGAACUACACAUAGCAACGCGCGGAAUUCAGGAAUCACUGUCUCAAUGCAUUUUUUACGAAAUGCCCAGGCGGGAUAUUCAUACACUUCAUUAAGAAGGCGGUGCUAAAAACCCAGGUAAUUUUGUUGGUUAAUGUUGACAACCUAGUUUUUUUGACAAUUAUCUGACAGAACUGUCAGUGUCAAUCGGCACCUAUUUCAAGUGCAUAAUUUAAUUACGAACCUUUAAAGGCUUUUGUACCAGCCCUGAUAUGUGGCCCUUUCGAACACCUUUCGAGUAAUGUACAAACAUAGCUUUAAAAAAAGCCAGUGCAAUUAGAACAUGAUAUGGAAAAUUAUUGUCGGUAUAAACUAGUUGAAGGAGUAAUAUUCAUGAAAAAGGGCGUUCUUCCUCAUAUUUUUGACCAGUCCGAUAUCAAGAAUGUUGUAGAAAGUUUGGAUGAAGAACAAGCACAACGUUCAUUUUUCGAAUUUAUCUCUUGUGCAAGUAUACUAUCUAAUGAAGAUGAAGAAAACCGAGAUGAAAUUUUCGCCAAUCCUUCAAAUGAAAAUAAUCAAAUUCUAAUGAGCGAUAAUAUUUAGGACAAUUGUUCAAAUGAAAAUGGACAAAGUCUAACGCAAGAUAAAAUUUUAUUCAUUCCUGUAAACUGUUCUUCAAUAAGCAACAUCCCCAGUAUUUCUAUAAAGGCAAAGAAAACAAGAACUGUUGGAAUACAAUUUCAGCCCUACUUUUAUAGCAAGGGUGUACAGUUUCAGCCCUGCCUACGUAACAAAGGUAUACAAUGUAAUUUUGAAGAUUACAUAAGAAAUGCAUCUAGUUCUGCAACAUGAAACAUGUCUAAAGCUGCUCAAAACUGCAGGAGUUCACACGAUGAAACAAGUUUUGUAAGUGUGGAAGGAUGUGGCCUCAAACAUGAUUCUGCUACAGACUGAUCCAGAAAUACUGGUCUGUUGGCAAACUGGACAUACAUUUUUAAGGAUACCAAUGGAGUACGCUUCCAGUUAACAACAAUUUAACAUUCUUGUGGGGUUGUACGUCAAAUAAUUAUCAAGAAAAAUCUAAUUCCGUUGCAAGGUUGCAAAUUACGAGCGCAAAUACUUUCAAAUGUGUUGCCAACAGACUCAGUAUUUCUGGAUCAGUCUGUAUUUUUUCAAUAGGCACAACAAAGGGAUCUUGCUUCUCCAAAUGUUUUGUUUAGUGCUGCGAACUGCAGCAGUUCAUAUGAUGGAUCAAGUUUUUUAAGUGUGAAAGAAGAAAUGAUAUAUGUACCAGAUACAGAAGCAAAACUAUGAUUACUUACGCGUAAUAAUUUUUAAUGGUACUAACAAGAAAAUAUUUUAAACAUUCCACCUGUUAUCCGAAAUUCCAUUCCAAUCCUGACUUCCU